AGUUUCUAGUGCUUGAGCUGAUAAGAGUAAUGUGGCUCAAGGUGACUGGUCCUCUGUGAGGGAUCCACGUUGAACACUUUAUCAGGAAUCACUGAUAGCUGCAUCAGGGACUUCCAGAGCAUUUUUUGAGUGAGAACGUGAAGACAGCGAUUAGCAGUUUCCAGGGGAAACAAGACAUGGUACUGCUCCCCACCUGUAAGAACAUGAUCUCUCCUCUGCCUUAACACUGUCAGCACUUCACAGUGUUUUUCCCAUCUGACCCACAUUUAAUUUUGCUAGCAUAAUGUCUGGGAGUUUUCAUGAAAAUGUGUCAUGGGCUGACUCAGAGUUAAGAAGCAAUAAAAACAGGAUAAGAAAAUCUCUUUCAGCAAAACUGUAUCUCAUGUAUGCAUCUAACUGAUGUUAUUUGCCUUUUUCAUACUAGAUUGCCACUGAACAAGAAUUUCAAAGUUAGGAAAGAAAUCUGUGCUUGAGGUCCAGCUUUUCCUUCUGUGAAUCCCAGGCAUGGAAAAUGAAAGCCCUCACUCCUCUGUUAAUAAGGGUAGUACCUGGACCUCAGCACACAGAGCAUUGGGAACUGUGACCACAGAACCCCCUCCCCUCAGUGUGAAAACUGACCCCCCAGGUAUCAAAAGUUGGAUGGAGACCAGUCAUCAUGAGGACAUCCUGCUUCAGCCCUGUGCCUGACAAAGGUCCUGAUGGUGCCAGCAACAGAGAGAAACACAGGCCUUGACAUUUCUUCAGGUAUGCAAACCAGCACAGUGGAAAAUGUCUGUGUAUUCUGAAAAUCCAAGCUGAUGUUUACUGAACAAGACCAAAAAAUUCCCUGAUUCUAUGCUGGGAGGAAGUAAAGCAGCUGGGACUGGGCUGUCCUUUAGUUUGUUUUACUUAAGCAUGAACAAUACCACCUCAUUAGACAAACAGUGUAUAAUGUGAACUAAUACAUAAAUUGAAAAAGUUAAUGCACUUACCAUUCUAUAAAGACUGAUUGUUAUCAUAGCUGGGGAAGGAGAUUUUCUUAGCAGUGCUUAUCUCAGGCGCUAUUGGAAGGGAAUCCAGUAGUACACUUUAAUUGGCUGCUUUUGCACCAUAAGAUGUGUUAAUGAUUUGUUGGACAAUUAUUAAGCUGUUUAAUCUUCCCAUCAGUCCAUGCAGGAUGUAGUUACGAAUAACAUCUUUCAUACACAACACACGUGUGACUCUGGAAAGAUGAGAUCCAUCUUCCUCUUUAAGAUCUUGCAAAGAAACAUGAAAAUCUCCACAAAGUCCUAGCUCCUGCAAUUCACAGCAGCUGGAUUAGUGUAUUAGAUGUCUUCUGAGGGAAAAAAAAAAAAAGAUCUUUGUUAUGUUUAACAUUAGCAGAUUUUAGCUGGCACCUUUUUAGUCACUGGCACUACCCUGCAACUUUCUUACAAAAAUAGUUGUGAAAGAAUGCUUUCUUGAAAAAAAAAAAUAAAUUUUACACUAUUGCUAUUUCA
rnacentral:lncRNA from 1 species